rnacentral:rRNA from 1 species
UACGAAGGGGGCUAGCGUUGCUCGGAAUCAUUGGGCGUAAAGGGUGCGUAGGCGGUCGGGUAAGUCGGAUGUGAAAUCCCAGGGCUCAACCCUGGAACUGCAUUCGAUACUGCCUGGCUAGGGUACUGGAGAGGAGACUGGAAUUUACGGUGUAGCAGUGAAAUGCGUAGAUAUCGUAAGGAAGACCAGUGGCGAAGGCGAGUCUCUGGACAGUUACCGACGCUGAGGCACGAAGGUCAGGGGAGCAAACGGG